rnacentral:rRNA from 1 species
ACGUAGGUGGCAAGCGUUGUCCGGAUUUACUGGGUGUAAAGGGCGCGUAGGCGGGACUGCAAGUCAGAUGUGAAAUGUGGGGGCUUAACCUCCAAGCUGCAUUUGAAACUGUGGUUCUUGAGUAUCGGAGAGGCAGGCGGAAUUCCAAGUGUAGCGGUGAAAUGCGUAGAUAUUUGGAGGAACACCAGUGGCGAAGGCGGCCUGCUGGACGACAACUGACGCUGAGGCGCGAAAGCGUGGGGAGCAAACAG